rnacentral:lncRNA from 1 species
GAUUUUCAGAGGGCAGGUGGGGGGAGGCUGGGGACCUUCCCGGGGGGCACAAAUCUUGUCUCGUCACUGAAGGAUGCACACAGCUCAUGGAGACCACGUCAACCACCGGCCUAAGGAAAGCAGUGGGAAAGCUGUGAGUUGAAGCCAGAGAUGAAUCCAUGCUCAACCUGUGUGUGGCAGAACUCCUAGGACCCGUUUGAAGGCUGUUCACACCAGUCACUGCAAUCACCAUUGAGCACAGAGAUGACAGUUCCAGCAAGCACUGACCUUCCAGCCCACUCUGCGGAGGAGAAGACUGAGGGGCAGAGACGAUGUUGAUUUGCUGCAGUUGACUCUGACCCUAAUUUCCCAGCGCUGACUCAAACUCAUCAAGAACACUGCUUUCACUGAGUGUAUGAGUGAUUUCUCCAUCCGUGUGGCUUUACCUGAACUCACACCGGUCCCACGGCCCAGGUGUGGGGCCGAGCACUCCCCUCUGCCUCCUCCCUGGACUGCAGGACCUGUGUCUCGCUUUAUGAAAGAGGUGCCAUUUGGGGAAGACUCGCAUUGUCAGGAGCGCUGUGGACGCUCCGGGCGGAGAUCAACACGAUGAUGAUGCCGGGUGGAGGGAAUGUGCGCUUCUCAGGAGCCAGAAGAGAAUAAUCUGAAUGUCUCCAGCAUCAAGAAAAGACCAGUAUUGAAGGUGAUGGAUGCCUUAAUUACGCUGAUUGGAUCUUUACAAAUUAUAUUAAUGUAUUAAGUUAUUACAUGUAUGCAGAAACUCUGUACACCUAUUAUGCACCAA